rnacentral:lncRNA from 10 species
AUGAACAAACACAAUCUCAGAUCAGUAUAACUAACUUCAGAGUUGAUAUUAAUAGAAAUUAUUCCAAAAUUAUUCUUAGGUCACAAAUUACUAGUAUGCCACAUAAAAAGGGAAAAAUCCCACCUCAUCAAAGAAAAGGUGUCCUGUGUAUGUUUCCAUGGGAAUGAGUUUAAGCAUUCUCAAAUUUUCUCCGGCUAGUUAUCCACCACUUCUCCAAUGGAUUCAUUCAGUCUCUUAGAGAACCAUAUAGACUAAUGAUAGCUUCCGGGACACACAGACAGAUCAAGUUCAUGGUGGACAUUGUUAUUAUAAAAAAUACUCAGGUCUUGAGAAUUCCUUUGCUGAAGGAUCCCAAAAUGCUUUAUAAAAA